ACACAACGAGAAGGGGCGGGGCCGAAGCCGGUUGCCAGGGUGUCGCGGAGCGGCUGGGAAGGAGGGGCUGGGAAUCUUGGAGCCCCUUGGCCCGCGGGGAAAGCGGGUGACCCGCCCUGCAAGUGGGAUGCCCCCUUCGGCCUUCUGGAGCGCAGGUGGGGGCGCGCGCCCAUCGGGGGCUCGCACUGCACGGAGGGUCGCGGUGCCGGGGAGCUGAGGUUGGAGGAUGCAGGGCGGCGGCCCUGGUGCACCGUGGGGGAGUUCGCACGCCGGGCAGCGAUCUUCUGCCGGGACCUGGCGUUCUUCACACACGGCUUAUUCGUGACGGAUCCACAGAGCAAUGCACUCUGAAGCCGGAGGGUAGAAAGUGCUGGAAUGCGCGCCCGGGCCCAGGCUGUCGCGAGCCUUCAGCAAGCCAGUGCACACAGAGAGGGCUGCCCAGAGAUCCCGGUCAGCGCUCGCAGUUCGAGGUGGAACAUGUGUGUGCCCUGCGCUAGCCCCAGCUCCCGGAGGUGCCCCCAGCGCGUGUGGAGGGGGGCGGUGAACGGACCCGCAAUCUGGUGGAGGCUGCGGGAAGGAGGCGCAGAGUCCAGGGGUCAGGGUUACCUUCGGGCAGGAGGACAGAUCCCUCUGCUCGGAGGUGAGGAAGACACACGAGGCGAGGUGCACACAGGCGAGGAGAGUGAGAUGGGGGGAGAAUGAGGAGUUCAGGAUACAUCUGUUUACUUCAGUCAGGGAGUGGGGAUGGAGCGGAGUAUUUGUAAAGAUGGACGGUUUAGAAUCGCCGGGAUGAGAACCGGGCAGGGAGCUGAUCAGGGAAGGGCAUGGGGAUCUCUGAGCAGCUGGGAGACCCCAGGGAAGUUUGCAGUGGCGCCUCCCACGCGGCAGCUGGGGGAGUGGAAGAAACCAAUGCUGGCUGGUCUAGAUGGAGGAGUUUGCUGGGUAGCGGUGGUCAAAGACCAGAGAGAAAAGGGAGGCCAAAAUCCUAGAGGGAGUGUUGCCCAAGAAUGGUGGAGUGCAGGGAUUCUGCCCCACUUGCCAGCAGACAGGCCAGGCUGCCAAAGUUGCAUGGGCGCUGGCAGAAAGACCCAAUACCCCUGGAGUCAGAGAGGAAAGACUACAACAGGAAACGGGCGACGCUGGUGUGCCCAGACGCAUGUUGCACCACAGCGGGUGCACUACAAAACAGGACCCUGGAUCCUGUGGACCAAUGUGGUCUUUGUCCCACAGGGAGGCUGUCUCCCCGGCAAGGGUGCCCACUGCAAGCACAGGCGUGAGAAAUGGCCCAGAAAAGAGUGGUCAGGGCAAUGUGUUCUUGGCACGCCCAGCAAGACCUGCCAGAGGGACCUACAGACGAGUGUCUCCCAGCUAUCUUACCAGCGGGGACCUUGAGGUCCAAGUAUCCAGUCCGGUUAGAAAUGGCCGCGGAUCCAACAGGUGCUGGUGAGUGGGAGAAUACCCCUGAGGGAGGAAGAACAGAGGCCGGGAGGGAGCUGAGUGGAUGUAGAUGAGAAAUACCUGGACAGCUGCAAGCUGUAGUCAGUGAUGGGCAACUGGAACCAGAGAUUCCAGAGAGAGGGAGGGAGAAAGAGGGAGGAGAAGGGAGAAUGAGAAAGAGAGGGAGAGAGAAUGGGGGGGAGAAAGAGGGAGAAUGGGGGAGAGAGGUAGGAGCAAGUUCUGGACCACGCCAAGGAUGGAGCUGUGGUCCUGGAACCAGAUGUCCAGGGAAUGGGAUGAAGUGACACUGGCUGGGGCCGAGGCUGCAGACUGCUGGUGGGAGCUGGCAGGACAAUGAGGAUUCUGAACCAGGUGCCUGAGCCUUCUGUGGAUAUGGGGAGUGACUUGGAUGUCUAUAAAUUCCAGAAAUGAUAGGAGGGAUAGAUGAUGGAGGGACUGUAUUUUAGACAAUAAACAAAUUUCACUCAGUAUG
ensembl:lncRNA novel transcript